GAUGAACGCUGGCGGCGUGCCUAAUACAUGCAAGUCGAGCGAACAGAUGAGAAGCUUGCUUCUCUGAUGUUAGCGGCGGACGGGUGAGUAACACGUGGUAACCUACCUAUAAGACUGGGAUAACUCCGGGAAACCGGGGCUAAUACCGGAUAAUAUAUUGAACCGCAUGGUUCAAUGUUGAAAGACGGUUUCGGCUGUCACUUAUAGAUGGACCCGCGCCGUAUUAGCUAGUUGGUAAGGUAACGGCUUACCAAGGCAACGAUACGUAGCCGACCUGAGAGGGUGAUCGGCCACACUGGAACUGAGACACGGUCCAGACUCCUACGGGAGGCAGCAGUAGGGAAUCUUCCGCAAUGGGCGAAAGCCUGGCGGAGCAACGCCGCGUGAGUGAUGAAGGUCUUAGGAUCGUAAAACUCUGUUGUUAGGGAAGAACAAAUUUGUUAGUAACUGAACAAGUCUUGACGGUACCUAACCAGAAAGCCACGGCUAACUACGUGCCAGCCGCCGCGGUAA
rnacentral:rRNA from 1 species